rnacentral:lncRNA from 1 species
CCUGUGGCUCCUGUUCCCCCGCCAGUUCCGGGCUUCAAGCCAGGGUCGAGGCCUAGGCCACCCACCCACCCCGUCUCAACUCUUUCGUUCUCCCUCAAUGGAAGGCCGCAACCAGCACAGAGGCAAACAGGAAACCCCCGUUCUCCUCCUGCUCAGGUAAAUGGGAAAUGUAGUCCUACGCCCCUCUCUCAACAAGGCGCCAAGGAGGCACGGUGGACUACAAUUCCCGGUAAACCUUGCGAACGGAGAGCCGCUACCCUGUGUCACUGCUGACGGAAGUAGACGUAUGUUAGAAAGGGCUGGGUUUGGCUGUAUUAAGAGGAGGCGGGGAGUAGAGUCUCGAAAUGACCGAUGGGAGUUGUCGUUUCCUAGAUCCGCUCUGGCCAACAAUUGCUUUGGAGAGCCGUUGCAUUUCUUGCUAUGUGACGGCAACCACCACUAA